UCAUCUGUGAAUUCGAACGUAAACCUCGU
rnacentral:sRNA from 1 species